UGAGUUGAAUAGAAGAGAAAAAAAUUGAAUUUUCGAGCUUUGCUUUGCCGUGAUCUGAAAAGUUACGACGGCGAACUUGCGAUUUCAUAUUUGAGUUUAUGAUGGUACAUAUUUCAUGAAUCAUUAACACAUGGAUCCUGAAGGCAAGAAAUUUGGAGGAGGACCAAGGGAACUUAGCGGUGCUGUUGAUCUUAUAAGUCACUAUAAAUUAUUGCCUCACCAUGACUUCUUCUGUAAGAGACCUCUUCCUUUAUCAAUCUCAGAUACACAUUAUCUUCAUAAUGUGGUGGGAGAUACAGAAAUUAGAAAAGGAGAAGGGAUGCAGCUGGACCAGCUUAUUCAUAAUACAUCUCACAGCAGAGACGCUAAUACCCGUAUACAGCCUUUUGACCUUGAUAUUCUUAAGGAGGCUUUCCAGCUGAGUGAAACCACUCCUGUUGAAUUGCCAGCGAGUGAAAAAGGGAUUCCUACAAUUCUUGGUAAAUCAAAGAGUGAAGCUAAAGAUAAAGAUAAAGAGAGGAAGCAUAAAAAGCACAAGGACCGAGAUAAGGAGAAGGAUAAAGAGCAUAAGAAGCACAAGCACCGUCGUAAAGAUAAAGAUCGAAGUAAAGAUAAAGACAAGGAAAAAAAGAAGGAUAAAAGUGGGCAUCAUGAAAAGAAAAGGAAGCACGAUGGAGAUGAAGAUCUUAAUGAUGUUCACAGACACAAAAAAAGUAAGCAUAAAAGCUCAAAAAUAGAUGAGGUUGGUGUAAUUAAAGUAGCAGGCUGAAGGGGUGGAUCUAUAGUUCAUUUGUCGUCUCAGAUGGUUGUUAGAGUGUGGGAGGGCUUUCUUAAUAUUCUCUUCUUUGCUUGAGAGUAACUUGUAAACUGGGUAUAGAAUGUGUAGGUGGUGAAUUCAUCGUCCAUUGAUUGAUAUCUAUGCGAGGUAUAGGUUGCUGAACAUGGUCUUUUUUGUAUCAUAAACAUUUGCCUGUAACAUGCAAAACUUUGAUUUUUUUUAUUGUUAUUUUUUUUGUAGCAUGUUGGAUGACUGUGCUGUUCAUUUACUCAUAGUUUUAUUUAGUUAAAAGUUU